GUAGGAUUAAUAUUAUAUUAUAAAUACUUAUGUCUUUAGGUAAUUUUAUUUUUAGGACAUGUUAUUAUGAUAUUAUUAUUAUUGAUGAUUAAUAAGACUUGAGAGUUUGUUUCUCUAGAGAAUGUGUUUCUUACCUCUUUGUUCCCCUUUGCUUCUAAUUUUAGAAUUAUUCCUUAUCUUUUUGUUUCUUUUAUGGCUUUAUUUUUUUAUAAAAAAUUUUAAUUGCCACAUUGCAAAGUGUUGCUCAAUAAAGAUAUAUUUUAAAAAUUAUAUAAAAUCUGAUGAAUUAUUCUUGAAAUUUGAUUAUUUGUUAUCCCUGUCUGAAGGAAAAUUAUAUGCCUUUGUGGAAGGGUAUUACAUACCCAUACUUGAGCGUAAUUAUAAGAUUCCUAGGCAUGUUGCCAUUCAUGAGGGCAAUAUUUAGUUGCUUGAUACCAAUGAAGUGCUUAAUGCCAAUGAAGAAAUUACAUUACCUCUUCUAUUUAUUCCAGGAACAUGAUUCCAUUCCCAUUCCUAAGGUUUUUUUUCCUCUAAGGUUGGCACACAGUUUAAGGUUUCUGUUCAUCUAAAAUUGUGUCACAGAAUCAUCCUUAGAUUAGGGUUUCUGCUCUCAAGAAUUGAUAAAGAGAGAUUAAGAGGAAGAACAGAGAAUAUAGAAAGAAGAUAGAAGAGAAUAGAGAAGAGAAAGAUAGGAAUUUUAUUAGAUUCUUCAGAUGAUCUAAUACAGGAAAUCAUUAUCCUUUUAUACAAAUCUUAGCUGCUGCAAUUGUUAUUGACAGUUAAAAUUGUCUUUAAAAACUUCUGUGACAACUCUCUAACCAACUGCAUCUUCUGUAACGGAAUUAACUCCCAAUUUCCCUCCAAGUUGCUAAAGACUCUCGAUCUCUAUCUUGCCAACUCAUCAAUCCUUUCCCAACCUCAUUAUUCUGCCUGCUCAUCAAUCCUUUUAUCUCCCACAUUUCUCUUCUUUCUCCUAUUAUAUGAGACAAAUUGGCACACAAUAUUGCCUUGGACUUUUUUAACUAUUUGAAAGUUGAUAUUUAACUUAGUAGAUUAUUUCACCUGACUCCAACAAUUUUGGGAUUAAGGCUUAGUUGUUG
rnacentral:misc_RNA from 1 species